rnacentral:lncRNA from 1 species
CGGACUGGAAAAUGCUGCUGUGGCGGAGUUCCUGUGUGAAGACAAAGCUCCCAGUCGCCCAGAAAUGUGGAGGCAGAAGAGCAGUGACAAGUUCCAGUGGAAGGUCUCUGUUCAGCCAGUCCAGCCUCCUUGCCCAUCAGCUCAUCUUCCAUGACCUGGGGAUGGUCAGCUCCUGCACCUUUAGAAUUACUUCUGGAAAGUACUGCCAGCCUUCCUGGGCUCCCACGCCCUCCAAAAGUACUUCCCAAGGGACCCUCUCAACCAUGGUCCUAAAGAGGUUCGAGUUUGCUCUCCGGCAGUCCAAGGUGGCAGUUCUGCUGACUCCCCUCCGUGGUUCAACAAGGAUUGAGAAAUCUAGCAUCUCACGAUCCCUUUGCCCCAGGCGGCCUCCAGCCUUGACAUCCCCCACGAGACCUUCUCUGUGAACAAACAGCAGGAUUUUGCUUGCCCUUGCUGGCUGCCUCACCAGCUGUGUCAGGAAGUGAUCUCCCACACACUUGAGGAACCUCUGGGACUGUUCCCUAUCUGCUGUAUUAUAAAUCCAGCAGAUGUCUGGGACUUUGCAAUAGCCCACAAGAACAAGGGGAGAGACCUUGAGACCUCCUGCGGCUGUGUCUAAAGUGUCUUGCCCACCUCUUCAUCCUGGUUGGGUGGCCUGUAGCACACUCCCACGAUAAGGUCAGUCUUACUGGCCUUUGCUUUUCUUCUGACCUAGAAGCUCUCAACCCUAUCAUGGCCAUCGUUCAUUUCCAGACAUUCCCAUUCUUUCUUAACGUAGAGGGCUGCACCACUGCCUUUCCUGCCUUGCCUCUCUCUUUUGCAAAGUCGCUAGCCAUCCAUCACAGCACUCCAGCUGUGCAUUGUGAUCAACUUAAAAAAGGAACGCAUGAAGAAUAGCUUUGUUUGCAUUCUGGUAACUGCUGAGGCUUUGGCUGAGGACAGCUUUCAGCUGCACCUGAACUAGGCUGGAUUUGUCUCCUGCUCUCCAUAGGUGAGUUAUUUCUCUUGCAGACCUUUGAAUCAAUGAUUCCCCUGCUAUUUGUCUCUUCUGGUUGCUGGAGAGAAGAGCUCCAAUGUCACAUCCUGAUCCGUAAGGUGAUCAAGCUUGGUGAUUGUCAGUAAUUCAGGAUAUGCUUGCUUUUCUUUAAGUGAACUAAGGGAUAAGCUAUCAUGCUGUGCCAUUUCUUUUCCUGUGCGUAAUGCCAAGGGAUAGGGCUGCAGGUGCCUGCUGGUUCACGGGACAUGCCAGAGCUUUGUACACAGCUUAAGUGAUGGAAGAGGAAAGACUCCAGUAUGGUAACAACGUGAUUUCUAGUGUUUUGGUACGUAUAUUCAAGUCAGUAUGGGUCCAUUUCAGACAGCAUCGUCUCACAUCUGUUUGUUGUCUCGUAUCAAACGCAUUUUUACUCAUUUGGCUACAUACAUACUCCACCCAUAGUUUGCAUCUUGUCUUCUUAGGGUGAGGUUUGCCUGCUGAACAGAAAGACAAAAGAAGCUUAAAUUACAGAAGCAGAGAAGC